rnacentral:rRNA from 1 species
UGGGGAAUAUUGCACAAUGGGGGAAACCCUGAUGCAGCGACGCCGCGUGAACGAAGAAGUAUUUCGGUAUGUAAAGUUCUAUCAGCAGGGAAGAUAAUGACGGUACCUGACUAAGAAGCACCGGCUAAAUACGUGCCAGCAGCCGCGGUAAUACGUAUGGUGCAAGCGUUAUCCGGAUUUACUGGGUGUAAAGGGAGCGCAGGCGGUGCGGCAAGUCUGAUGUGAAAGCCCGGGGCUCAACCCCGGUACUGCAUUGGAAACUGCUGGUCUUGAGUGAUGGAGAGGCAGGCGGAAUUCCUAGUGUAGCGGUGAAAUGCGUAGAUAUUAGGAGGAACACCAGUGGCGAAGGCGGCCUGCUGGACAUUAACUGACGCUGAGGAGCGAAAGCGUGGGGAGCAAACAGGAUUAGAUACCCUGGUAGU